GGUGUAGUAGACCUUACAGUGAAAUGCUGAAUACAACAGGUGUAGUAGACCUCACAGUGAAAUGCUGAAUACAACAGGUGUAGUAGACCUCGCAGUGAAAUGCUGAAUACAACAGGUGUAGUAGACCUUACAGUGAAAUGCUGAAUACAACAGGUGUAGUAGACCUCACAGUGAAAUGCUGAAUACAACAGGUGUAGUAGACCUCACAGUGAAAUGCUGAAUACAACAGGUGUAGUAGACCUUACAGUGAAAUGCUGAAUACAACAGGUGUAGUAGACCUUACAGUGAAAUGCUGAAUACAACAGGUGUAGUAGACCUUACAGUGAAAUGCUGAAUACAACAGGUGUAGUAGACCUCACAGUGAAAUGCUGAAUACAACAGGUGUAGUAGACCUCACAGUGAAAUGCUGAAUACAACAGGUGUAGUAGACCUCACAGUGAAAUGCUGAAUACAACAGGUGUAGUAGACCUCACAGUGAAAUGCUGAAUACAACAGGUGUAGUAGACCUCACAGUGAAAUGCUGAAUACAACAGGUGUAGUAGACCUCACAGUGGAAUGCUGAAUACAACAGGUGUAGUAGACCUUACAGUGAAAUGCUGAAUACAACAGGUGUAGUAGACCUUACAGUGAAAUGCUGAAUACAACAGGUGUAGUAGACCUCACAGUGAAAUGCUGAAUACAACAGGUGUAGUAGACCUCACAGUGAAAUGCUGAAUACAACAGGUGUAGUAGACCUUACAGUGAAAUGCUGAAUACAACAGGUGUAGUAGACCUCACAGUGAAAUGCUGAAUACAACAGG